rnacentral:misc_RNA from 1 species
AUGUUAAGGAAAAGUAUGAGAUGGAUUCCAUUUAUGGCUGAACAUCAAGUGGAAUGGUGAUCUUAAAGGAACAAAAAUUGGAAAUUUGGAGAAAACAAAGAAAAAGAGUUAGCUCUUUGUCAAUUAAUAGUUCAUACUUUCAUGUGUCUUUUCUCAAAUGGAAGUUCAAACCUAGUCUUUUCUCACUACCUAUGAUUUCAUUCAUUGGCAACCAGGGGCAGUUGACAUCUGCUGCAAUUCUCCAAUAUGAUCAUAUAGAAGAGGAAAAAGAAGAAGAAAGGAAAGAAGAAAGAAAGAAUUUUUAGUUCAAAGUGCCAGCUAAGGAU